UACGUAGGGUGCAAGCGUUGUCCGGAAUUAUUGGGCGUAAAGAGCUCGUAGGCGGCUCGUCGCGUCGGCUGUGAAAACCUGGGGCUCAACCCCGGGCCUGCAGCCGAUACGGGCGAGCUAGAAUUCGGUAGGGGAGACUGGAAUUCCUGGUGUAGCGGUGAAAUGCGCAGAUAUCAGGAGGAACACCGGUGGCGAGGGCGGGUCUCUGGGCCGAUAUUGACGCUGAGGAGCGAAAGCGUGGGGAGCGAACAGG
rnacentral:rRNA from 1 species